GACAGAGGGGGCAAGCGUUGCUCGGAAUCACUGGGCGUAAAGGGCGCGUAGGCGGGAUGGCAAGUCGGUCGUGAAAUCCUUCGGCUCAACCGAAGAACGUCGGCCGAUACUGCCGUUCUUGAGGGAUGCAGAGGAGAUUGGAAUUCCCGGUGUAGCGGUGAAAUGUGUAGAGAUCGGGAGGAACACCGGUGGCGAAGGCGGGUCUCUGGGCAUUUCCUGACGCUGAGGCGCGAAAGCGUGGGGAGCGAACAGG
rnacentral:rRNA from 1 species